rnacentral:rRNA from 1 species
UACGAGUGCCUCAAGCGUUAUCCGGAAUCAUUGGGCGUAAAGGUUGUGUAGGUGGUUGUAUUAGUCUUCUGUUAAAUUCUUCGGCUUAACCGGGGGCAUGCAGAGGAAACGGUACGACUAGAGGAUGCGAGGGGUCUGUGGAAUUCAUAGUGUAGCGGUAAAAUGCGUUGAUAUUAUGGAGAACACCAAAAGCGAAGGCAGCAGACUGGAGCACUCCUGACACUGAAACAAGAAAGCGUGGGUCGCGAAUGGG